GAUGAACGCUGGCGGCGUGCCUAACACAUGCAAGUCGAGCGAUUCUCUUCGGAGAAGAGCGGCGGACGGGUGAGUAACGCGUGGGUAACCUGCCCUGUACACACGGAUAACAUACCGAAAGGUAUGCUAAUACGAGAUAAUAUGCUUUUAUCGCAUGGUAGAAGUAUCAAAGCUUUUGCGGUACAGGAUGGACCCGCGUCUGAUUAGCUAGUUGGUAAGGUAACGGCUUACCAAGGCGACGAUCAGUAGCCGGCCUGAGAGGGUGAUCGGCCACAUUGGAACUGAGACACGGUCCAAACUCCUACGGGAGGCAGCAGUGGGGAAUAUUGCACAAUGGGCGAAAGCCUGAUGCAGCAACGCCGCGUGAGCGAUGAAGGCCUUCGGGUCGUAAGCUCUGUCUCAAGAAGAUAAUGACGGUACUUGAGGAGGAAGCCCCGGCUAACUACGUG
rnacentral:rRNA from 1 species